rnacentral:lncRNA from 1 species
AUGUGCUGCACGAGCUUGUUCUCGCAGUGGCGACAGGCCGCAGCAUUUGGGGGCGCCCGCGGGGUGUUCCCGCGAGAGGCACGGGGCAGUCCAGGGCGCGAGGCCAGGCAGCAGCCAGUCGCUCACUGCCGGCGACGGCGGCACGCAGACACGCUGGCCGGCUGCCUGCACGUCCACGCGGAUGGGUGCCAUGCCACCCGGGGUCGGACGGCCAGCGCGACUCACAGACGGGCGACGGGCAGCUCCCCCUGCCAGGGCAGCAUCCCGGGGACUGACUUGCAGCACGCUAAACACCAACACCUUCCUUCUCACGCGGGUUUGACUUCCCAUUUCCAGCCCUGGACCCUCCUCCUGCUCCCUGAGAGCCCUUCCGCACACGGGCUGCUGCAGCCUGCUCCAGCCGUGCCGCGAUCCAGGCAGGGGAGCUUUCCUGGUGCCUCCCGAGGUGGCCUCUCCAGGACCACACAGCCCCUGUGGUCGCCUCCAGCCCUUCCCCACUGCCGUUGCUCCUGCCACAGCUCAGGCAGCAGGAUCCGACCUGUCSCCCCCGGCUCCCCGCGAGUUUGCACCCGUGCCAUCGCUCAGCACCAGCGCACGGGUGCUGCCGCCCGGCCGACCUCUCCCAGGGCUCCCUCCCCUUGGGGUGCCUGGCCCGAGCACAUCUGGCCGCAGCUGGGCUGCGGCAGCAUCCCAGCACCAUCUGCCGGGCACAAGCAGCAUGGCCCGUCCUGCCCAUCCACCCCACGGCCACCCAUCCCCGUCUCAGGGCAGGGCACGGGAGGGCUUUCCCGGCGGAUCCGGGGGUGCAGGAGUGCUGCGGGAGAGGGGCUGAGCUCCAGAGCCCUGCAAGCAGUGCCCGAGGGCAGGAUCAGCCCCGGGAGAAGGCUGGGCCGCCUUUGGCCACCAUCUCUGCAGCGUCCCAAACGCUCGGCCUGCUCGGGGGAUCCCACGGCCCGGAGUCUCCCACCGGCACGCUCACCCUCACCGCUCCAGCACCAGCACUCCCAGGAGAGGGGCUGGUGCACACUUCUCCCUUUCGCCUUGUCAAUCUGUCAGGGGCUAGUACCUUCAGGGAGCAAAACACGGGGUACUUGCCAUUGA